CCUACGGGAGGCAGCAGUAGGGAAUAUUGCUCAAUGGGGGAAACCCUGAAGCAGCAACGCCGCGUGGGUGAUGAAGGUUUUCGGAUUGUAAACCCCUUUUGUUAGAGAAGAAAAUGACGGUAUCUAACGAAUAAGCACCGGCUAACUACGUGCCAGCAGCCGCGGUAAUACGGAGGGGGCAAGCGUUACUCGGAUUAACUGGGCGUAAAGAGAGCGUAGGCGGGAUAGCAAGUCAGAUGUGAAAUCCUAUGGCUUAACCAUAGAACUGCAUUUGAAACUGUUAUUCUGGAGUAUAGGAGAGGUAGGUGGAAUUCUUGGUGUAGGGGUAAAAUCCGUAGAGAUCAAGAGGAAUACUCAUGGCGAAGGCGACCUGCUGGAACGUAACUGACGCUGAGGCGCGAAAGCGUGGGGAGCAAACAGGAUUAGAUACCCGUGUAGUC
rnacentral:rRNA from 1 species